rnacentral:tRNA from 1 species
UGGCUGAGCGGUAAAGCGCUUGGCUUCUGAACCGGGGUCCCAGGUUCGAAUCCUGG